AUGCUGCUGCUCGGCGUGGUCACCUUCACCUCGCCCAGCUCUGUCAUCGCCUCACCGGUGGCGUGGCGAUGCACUUCUGCCGCCGCCGUCCUCUUCGUCGUCGGCUCGAAUCUCGACGACGGAUCCAUCUGGAAAGAGAUACGUUUACAGGAUGUUUCUUUCGGAAAAAUUUUUCCAUUAAGGAUUGAAUUUUGCUGUAAAUGUCUCGAACACUUUGCUAUGAUUGAACACGACCAAAUAUUUACUCGACUUAUCUGUUGAUGAAAUGGAAAGCAAGCGAGAAAUAUAGCAAGUUUCUUAUCCGUCAUCAUCGCUCGACGAUUGGUACGAAAUCUUCCACGUAUAACGUUCGAGGAGAAUAAUAUUAUUUAUGACUAGAUAUUUCUUACGUCGUUUGAAAAAGAGGAAGAUGCACGACGGAAGCAAAACAACAGACGCGGUACCCCAAUGUUUAUUGCCGGAUAAAGACUAUCUAUCCGUGGUUUCAAACUUCCGGGAGAAGUCCAACAGUGUUUCUGUUCCGGGUUUAUCUUGUGGAGAAUUAGCAUAUAAAAUAUUGCGUCGCAAUGAAUCGAAUUCAACGAUACGCGCGAGAAUUGGAGAGUGAAAGGAACAAAACAGCCGGUGAUUACGCGUGCUUCAGGAAUCCGGCUUUUCGAGAGGAAGGGGGAAUUCCGCUGUAGAUGCGACGCGGUCCUGUACAUCGAGUUUAUAACGAAGGAAACGUAUUCCCGUGGUCCAGAUAAUCUCCGAUUCGUAUGGAUCCGCUAUCUCAUUAAGAUAUUAAUUCUCAAGUCGUAGACACACACACACUCACACACACGAUGAUCGGCAUCACUCACGUUGAAUAUGUGUCCAUAUUUGCCGAUAUGGUGAUCGUUCUCGUUCAUACUAUCGCAUCGCGAGGAUGUGCCUCGAAAAGCUGUGCAAUUCUUAAGAGCGAUUCUUCGGAACGCUAAUCUCCGCGCCGAUACGGAUUUACUUUGACGGAGAACGAGUAACGCGGUGUCGCGCGACGCAAAUCGCCGUAAGAACUGACCAGUUCAGUAGGUCGCUCAAGAGCCAUUAUCAGCGCUUAUCAACCGCGACCCAUGACCAACCGGCUAAUAAACUGGCUCCUCCUCCUCCUCCUCGGAGUUAUCGUCGAAAAUCUUGAUGGGAGAAGUCACCCUAAUCACAUAAAUACCCGUUUCAUCCCGAGUUUGUUUAUUACUCUCGCAACAACAUUAUUAUUUUUAUUAUUUAAUAACUAAUUAUUAGCUCUCACCAUUAAUUAUUAUUAUUCUUGUCAGCACUAAAUACGUGUUCUCUUAAAUGGAAUCAGAGUAUUAUCACUGGAAAGCUGAUUAAAUUUAAGAGAGUGAAAGAGAACGCGAAACGUUCCUGUUUGCAAUAUGUGCAUCGCAAAUACGUCAAAUAUAAAUGCCUGAUAAGUUAGACAGCUAGAGGAUAGGAAGGGGAAAGGACAUCUUGGUGCACGAGCAAACAUGAUGUGCGGGCGAGUUCCCGUGUGUUUACGUAUAAUCGCGACUACCUUGCGUAAUUCGGUCUCGUCCGUCAUUAUUUUCCGAUAACAUCAGCCACGACCUCGAUGGCGCGAAACGCGUGGCUUUUGCAGAAACAUGGUCGGAAUUCCUCGCGCAUAACUGGAAAGGUGCGAAUGUAUCGUUGAUCGAUUACGAUCGUCGCCUGAUUAAACUCGUCUGGCCAUUUUGACCAAUUCUUAUCGACUUUUAUCGCGCGAUAACACACGGACGCGUUCAAGCGAGUCGCGCGAAGAAAAAAAAGAGAAAUAAGUAAACCAACAGAAAUUAUAAUGAAUGUUUUCAAAUUCACACUUGUGCAUACCGAAGGCGCAAGAAUGGAGAUAAAAAUGUGUCUGCCACGGAAUAACUUUAACUCUUCCCGAGUGUAAUAAAUUAAUCGCAGAGGCUAGAUAGAUAUUUAUCAAAUAUAAAUCAAAAUAGAAUGAUAAUUUGUCUGAUAAUCUCUCACUAUAGUGUUUGGUAGAAAUAAGGCUUAAUGCUUCGGUGAUCUUAUAUAAUUAACGCACACGUAGUUUAUUUUUUGUAUAUCCGAGGAAACUUGAUCCUACAUUCCGGUUUUUUGAGGCAGAAAUAAAUGUCUGUUACGCGACGAACCGGAACUGAUAAAAAAUUUUGCCGUCCAAAGUUGCUGUAAAAGUGAUUUCUUUUAAUGCUUUAUAGAACAGUAAUCGAAAAGAAUGCUAAAACGGAUGGAGAAAUAAAUUGUAAAAUAUUGAAGCGAAAAAAAAAUUAAGCUACACAAAAUAAGAGAAAAAGAACAAAAUUAAAAAAUAUUUCACAUAUUGCGCUUCUCGCUACGAUUUACAAAGCGUUAAUUAUACGCGUAAUAAGGUCGCAACUGUCAUACCUGAUGGCACGUGUUAACGAUGUCGGAACAUUCGGCGAAACGAUCGCAAGCGGAAUAACGAGAGAUAUAUCGUUCCGAGUGAUGAUACACUUUCGUGAUGACGAUAAGAUCGAGUUGUAAGAUAGAAGAAAAAAAAAAAAAA